AUUUUAGAUGUCAUCCCUUAGAGCUGAAAGUAAACACAUUUGAUUUAAUCACGUUAAUCAAAAUGUAUUUGCAUUCAAGUGUUCUUAUAUAUCAGUACUUCUAGAUGGAUUUAAAUUAUAUUGACAGAAAACAUCCAUUUCUUCACAUUUUUAAAUACCAGUCAGGUUUUAGAACCUGGUCUACAGCAUGGUUGUUUUUUGGGGGAAAAAAUGUCGUUCAGCCAAGGCUGAUCUUGUUUUUCCUUUAUUCUUUAAGCCAGGAGCAAUUACUUUUCAUUUCAGGAUUAAGAGGCUGUAACAUGGCCAUUCGUCGCCGAGGCUCCUGGUUUCAGCAUGUCUCCUUGGUUCCCAGCCAGUCCUGGGUGUUCAGGUAGCAGCUGGAGCUGGGAGUGCCUCUCCAGUCCACAUUCUUUGGCUAUGAAUUUUGCAGCCCUGUUUAUCUGAUGGAGACCUCCCCACAGCGAGUUGCUCAUGAUACUGUCACACAGACCUUAAUGAAUGAUACGGAAAGAUACUGAAUAUUUUUCCUCCAGGAAUGCCAACCCAUCCUACAUGCCAACCAGUCCCCUCACUUUGGCCGAUCACUGCAGAAAGCCUGGUGCUGAGCUCCGAGGAGACCUGUCCCACACAAACCAAACAGGAUGCCUACAGGUCCUCUCUGUGGGGCUGUCACCCAAGCCUGUUCAGGGAAUUUUCAACAAUUGCAUCUGCGCAGACAUUGAUUCUCACUUCUCUGCACUAAUGAUUUACUUUGGUUUAUACCUUCAAUCUGUGUAUGUUAUCACCAGCUUCAGCACACAAAGAUCUUCCUUCUCUUGAAAUCAUGACUUUACUUGAGUUAGCUUGGGGCGGCUUUUAGAGCAUGGCUUUCUCACUAUGUCAUGUGUCUUCAUUUUGCCUUCCCAAACCAGACCAUAAAUUCCUUGGGAGAGGAGAUCCGGAAACUGAUCAUACCUUACAUAGACAGACAGACAGCAGCAAAGACAAAAACAACCACAAAAGGACCGUUGUUGCUCUUAGUAAUUGAGAAAAUUUACCUUAACAUGUUUAGAAGACUCUAGAUCAUUUGCUCUGACUUAUGUCUCUUCUCCUUUCCCCGGCCUGCCCUCUGCUGGAACUGCUAAUGAGCAGUAAGAGGGCCAAAGCAGGACAUGGUGUGGGGAAACAUUGGGGCUUGUCUGAUUGAAAAGCAAGUUGAACCACUGCCAUUUGUGAGUUCACAACCUAGAUCUUUGAAGCUCCCUGUUAUUUGCCUUUGGGUAACUAGUUAUCUCGUUAGAAGACCCCUUAGUGGUUCAGCUGUGCUUGGGGAUGUGAUUCCGCCCACUGGCAUAAGAUGGGCCACAUGACUUUGUGGGUCUUCCACUCUUAUGUGCUUCUUUCAUCUCUCUCUUACAGCAGAUCGCGGUAGACACCAGAUCGCGGAUGCCCUGUCCCAAACAUAAAUCCCGUCCUGUUCACCAAUCCCUCAAAACCUUCAUGACCUUCAUAUUUAACGGACAUUUUCAAGGAUCUGGCAAGACUGCCGGUUUGGUAAUGCAAGGCAGAAGAUAGUUUUCUCCAUGCCAUGGGGAGCAUGGCUUCUAGUUGCUUUGGUCUCUCAUCUCAUCCUAGCAGCCCUUCUACCAUCAAAGAAAGAAGAUUUCUUCCCUUUGGGCUCCAUCCUAUUAACAGUCUCAAGAAUGACUUACACUGGAUCAGCAGAGGUUGCACACUCCUUCCCCAACCAGACACCAAGCCAGGAAGAUGGGGUAAUAUCCCAAUGUAUUAGCUAUAGAGUAAAAACUUAAAUUUA